GCCUGGGUGGCUCAGUCGGUUGAGCGUCCGACUUCGGCUCAGGUCACGAUCUCACGGUUCAUGGGUUCGAGCCCCAUGUCAGGCU
rnacentral:tRNA from 1 species